rnacentral:lncRNA from 13 species
UGAGGUUCUGGGAAUCUCACAUCCAAAGACAGUCAAAAGCUGGCAUCGUUACUAUCAUAUGUGAACUCUGUACAAAGGUAGGAUGGUGACUCUUGGGCCAAGAUUCAGCACUCCUUUGAUGUUUUGACCUUUUUACAGUGUCUGCAGGUGGAGCUCUCAGGCAUGGAUCCAGUUCACUGUUGAGGUUAUUUGCCUUUUGGACAGAACUCCCAGUUCAGACUAUACAUUAGAUUGUGAACUAUACCUGGGUUGAGGACCUAGAUUAUGUGACUUUUCUGCCUGGGCUCUGUCUGCCUUCAUCUGGCCCCUGUGCUGUAGGACUGCUGAGGUCCACUUCAGGCCCUGCUUUCCUGGGGAUCGCCUGCAGCAGCUGCAGAACAGUAAGGGUUGCUACCAGUUUCUUCUUCUGCUAUCUUUGUCCCAGAAUGAUGCCUGCCAAAUGUCAGUCUGAUCAGUCCUUUUUGAGGUGACUCUGGAUAUACAGGGGUCAGGGAGCUGCUUGAGGAGACAGUCUGUUCUUUAUAAAAGCUGAAGUGCUAAGCUGUGAGCUCCAUUGUUCCUUCAGAGCUGCUGUGCAGGUACAUUUAAGUCUGCUCUAGCAGAAUUCAUAAACCCCCUUUUUUUCCCCAGGUGUUCUGUCCUGGGGAGGUAGUGCUUUAUUUAUGAGUUUCCCUUGUGUUGCUACCUUUUCUUCUUCUCAGGGUUGCCUUGCCCAGCAAAGAGGCAGCCUAGUCACUGUCUGCCUACAGAGGCUUUGCUGAGCUGCUGUAGGCUCCUCCUUGCUACUGUGUGAACUUCCCUGCUGUCCUGUUUAUAUGGGUGUAAUUAGAACUGCCUCAGCAAUGCUGGCCCUCCUCUGUAAAGGCAGACUCUCUCUGUAAUGGUG